rnacentral:lncRNA from 1 species
AAGAACCUGCUUGGUUUUGUAGAUAAUUAACAGAAGCUAGUGCAGAGAAAUUAAGGAACAAAUGGCAAAGAAUAUGGGAGUGAAGAUGCAUUUUCGGAAGCACCAUAUUCUUGACUCUUGAUACUUGAUACUUGGUGCCUGACUCUUGAGACUCGUGCAACUUUAGACUUGGUUGAACGAGAGACUGGAGACUUGUCACUGGCGGAAACUAUGAAACUUGGAAACUUUGUGUUAUAAUCUAGUUAUGUGAUACUAUUACACAACAAUACGCAACGCAACGCUUAAUCUAACUCGCAAAACGAACCAAAGACGGAAAGUGGAACGGAUGGGAUGGGAUUGACCGAAUGGUAAUCCGAUCGGAUGACCAUCUGAUCGGAUAACCAUCCGAUCGGAGGGCCACUAGAUCGAAAUUCCAUCCGAUCCACUGCCACACCGCCUUAUCUCCACUCUUGCACUAUAAAUAGGACAUGUCACAUCAUUCUUCACUGAUGUGACAGCCUCCUUCGACCAGACGCACACUCUCUCACUUUUCUUUCAUUUCUCGGUGAUUUCGUCUGGAGACGGCUUAGAAAUGGAUCAUCGCCGGAAAAGAUGGCUGGAGUACGGGUUCCGACAUGAACACCGUCAAGAACAGACACCCGAACGAACAGGGUGAUUCCCAUCCGAUCAGGCAGGCUGAGCUUUGACGUGUUUACAGUUGUCUCAAUACGUACCAUGUCGUCACCGUUAAACCAGAAACUUAGAAACUUUGCAAGGUUGCAAAAGAAACAAGGUCACUGCGAACGAAUGGCGAUCCAAUUGGACUGUCAUCCGAUCGAAGUGGUAAUGUGACUUACAACCUUCAACACUUGAACUAGUUUUGAAUCAGAAACUUGAAGUUUGAAACUUGCACUCGAAGGGUCAUUCGACCGAACGACCAUCCGAUCAGAUGACCAUCCGAUCGAAAGACCUGGUUUGAACACUUAGAAUAAAAGUUGAACUUUUGGAACUCAAUGAUUGGAUCGAAUGACCAUCCGUCCCAACCACAUGUGUCAUUCGACUGGAUGACCAUCCGUUCGGAUGGCCAUCCAAUCAGAUGACUGAUCCGACACUUUGCAAAUCUCGUUACUCUGUCCGACACUUAUCUAUUGUACUCUAAAUCAGGCUAAUCCUAAGAGCUCCCUUUGAUCCAAUAAUAGUGUUACUGUUAAGCAAUCACUGUGAGUAUACUCGAUCCCUUUUUGUUUUAAACUUUGGGAUGCAACAUGUAUUCUAUGAAACUUGACACUUGAUACUUUUGAAUCUAAACUCUAUCCUCAGUGAAUGUGAAACUUGAUACUUAUGAAUUUUGAUUCUUGAUUCUUUAUGCUAUGUGAACGUUUAAUCCCUGUGUGUAGUUCCUCCUUAACAAUAGUAGCGCUAUAGGAAGAUGCACCUCCCUGUUAUUCUUGGGGGUAUUGUUAAAAGGAUUCUAGUUUUCCUUGAGUCUUGGGAAAACACCUAAAGCAACGGGACACUUGGGCUAUCAAUUUGGACUGCAAACACUAGCAUGAUUGAAACUAUUUUUAUCGUUUACAUGAUGGAUAUGAGUUCUUUUAAUCUAUUAUGCUAUAUAUUCAAACUUGUAUACUCGCCAGUACGUUUUGUACUGACUUUAUUUUAAUACAUGUUGUAGGCUGAUAGGAUGCUAUGAGUCAAGAAACAUGCUAGGAUGCUGCUUAGAAACACAUCAUAGCUAAACUAUAGUCUUUUGAACAGUAGUUGAAAUGGUUGUAUUUGAUAUUCUACGGUUGUGACUUUUGAUGUUUAGACAAUGUUUGAAUCUACUUAAUUUAUAAUGAACUGAUAGUGU